rnacentral:rRNA from 1 species
GACGAAGGGGGCGAGCGUUAUCCGGAAUGACUGGGCGUAAAGGGUUCGUAGACGGUCUUUUUUGUGAACGGUGAAAUCAGGGAGCUCAACUCCUAAAAGCUGUUUAAACGUUUUGACUUAGAGUCGGAUAGAGGAUAGCGGAAUUUUACGUGGAGGGGUGAUAUCCAGAGAUAUGUAAAGGAAUCCCAGUGGCGAAGGCGGCUAUCCAGCUCCGUACUGACGUUGAGGAACGAAAGCAUGGGGAGCAAACAGG